UACGAAGGGGGGCUAGCGUUGCUCGGAAUUACUGGGCGUAAAGCGCACGUAGGCGGCUUUCUAAGUCGGGGGUGAAAUCCUGGAGCUCAACUCCAGAACUGCCUUCGAUACUGGAGAGCUCGAGUCCGGGAGAGGUGAGUGGAACUGCGAGUGUAGAGGUGAAAUUCGUAGAUAUUCGCAAGAACACCAGUGGCGAAAGGCGGCCUCAGCUGGCCCGGUGAC
rnacentral:rRNA from 1 species